GGGGAUAUAGCUCAGGUGGUAGAGUGCUUGCCUCGUAAGCACAAGGCCCUGGGUUCAAUCCCCAGCACUCCCC
rnacentral:tRNA from 1 species